AGCCUAGUGGUUAGAGUGUAGAGGAGGCAGGUAGCAUAGUGGUUAGAGUGUAGGGGGGCAGGUAGCCUAGUGGUUAGAGUGUAGAGGGGGCAGGUAGCCUAGUGGUUAGAGUGUAGAGGUGGCAGGUAGCCUAGUGGUUAGAGUGUGGAGGCGGCAGGUAGCCUAGUGGUUAGAGUGUAGAGGCGGCAGGUAGCCUAGUGGUUAGAGUGUGGAGGCGGCAGGUAGCCUAGUGGUUAGAGUGUAGGGGCGGCAGGUAGCCUAGUGGUUAGAGUGUAGAGGCGGCAGGUAGCCUAGUGGUUAGAGUGUAGAGGAGGCAGGUAGCCUAGUGGUUAGAGUGUAGAGGGGGCAGGUAGCCUAGUGGUUAGUGUGGAGGCGGC
ensembl:lncRNA